CGAACGCUGGCGGCGUGCUUAACACAUGCAAGUCGAACGGUGAUGGCCAGCUUGCUGGUCUGAUCAGUGGCGAACGGGUGAGUAACACGUGAGCAACCUGCCCUUCACUCUGGGAUAACCACGGGAAACGGUGGCUAAUACCGGAUACGAGACACACGGGCAUCCGUAGUGUUUGGAAAGAUUUAUCGGUGGGGGAUGGGCUCGCGGCCUAUCAGCUUGUUGGUGGGGUAGUGGCCUACCAAGGCGACGACGGGUAGCCGGCCUGAGAGGGCGACCGGCCACACUGGGACUGAGACACGGCCCAGACUCCUACGGGAGGCAGCAGUGGGGAAUAUUGCACAAUGGGCGCAAGCCUGAUGCAGCGACGCCGCGUGAGGGAUGACGGCCUUCGGGUUGUAAACCUCUUUCAGCAGGGAAGAAGCGCAAGUGACGGUACCUGCAGAAGAAGCGCCGGCUAACUACGUGCCAGCAGCCGCGGUAAUACGUAGGGCGCAAGCGUUGUCCGGAAUUAUUGGGCGUAAAGAGCUCGUAGGCGGUUUGUCGCGUCUGCUGUGAAAACCUAAGGCUCAACCUUGGGCUUGCAGUGGGUACGGGCAGACUAGAGUGCGGUAGGGGUGACUGGAAUUCCUGGUGUAGCGGUGGAAUGCGCAGAUAUCAGGAGGAACACCGAUGGCGAAGGCAGGUCACUGGGCCGCAACUGACGCUGAGGAGCGAAAGCAUGGGGAGCGAACAGGAUUAGAUACCCUGGUAGUCCAUGCCGUAAACGUUGGGCACUAGGUGUGGGGCUCAUUCCACGAGUUCCGUGCCGCAGCAAACGCAUUAAGUGCCCCGCCUGGGGAGUACGGCCGCAAGGCUAAAACUCAAAGAAAUUGACGGGGGCCCGCACAAGCGGCGGAGCAUGCGGAUUAAUUCGAUGCAACGCGAAGAACCUUACCAAGGCUUGACAUACACCGGAAAAGUGCAGAGAUGUGCUCCCCGUAAGGUCG
rnacentral:rRNA from 1 species